GGGGUUGUGGCUCAGUGGCAGAGUGCGUGUCUAGCAUGUAUGAGGCACUGGGUUCGAUCCCCUCCGCACCA
rnacentral:tRNA from 1 species